CGGCUUUCCAUAGAAAUCAGCGGCAUCACAUCAGCCGGAAUACUUUUUUUAAACUGCGUCGGUGGCAAACAAGCAUACGGCCCGCCUGAUGGUAAGCAGUCUCCGUAGCCUAUGUACGCCUGCAACUCCAGAGGAGCUACAUGCGCGUUGCCAACCCUAACACUCCGCACUCGAUGAGCUCUGGCAACCUUACUCACCGGCAGGAACACAACA